GCCCAAGUAGCACAAUGGUAGUGCGUUGCUUUCCUACUCUGCUGGAGGCAAAGGUUGUGGGUUCGAUCCCCAUCUUGGGUU